AUAAAUUACUUGUAAUUUGAUGGCGACCGGCGAACGGGUGCGUAACGCGUAUGCAACUUACCUUUUACUAGAGAAUAGCCAAGAGAAAUUUUGAUUAAUGCUCUAUGUUCUUAUUUACUCGCAUGAGUAAAUAAGCAAAGCUCCGGCGGUAAAAGAUGGGCAUGCGUCCUAUUAGCUUGUAGGUGAGGUAAUGGCUCACCUAAGCUCCGAUAGGUAGGGGUCCUGAGAGGGAGAUCCCCCACACUGGUACUGAGACACGGACCAGACUUCUACGGAAGGCAGCAGUAAGGAAUAUUGGACAAUGGAGGCAACUCUGAUCCAGCCAUGCCGCGUGAAGGAAGACGGCCUUAUGGGUUGUAAACUUCUUUUAUACAGGAAGAAACCUUUCCACGUGUGGAAAGCUGACGGUACUGUAAGAAUAAGGAUCGGCUAACUCCGUGCCAGCAGCCGCGGUAAUACGGAGGAUCCAAGCGUUAUCCGGAAUUAUUGGGUUUAAAGGGUCCGCAGGCUGUUUGUUAAGUCAGAGGUGAAAUCCUACCGCUCAACGGUAGAACUGCCUUUGAUACUGGCAAACUUGAGUUAUUGUGAAGUAGUUAGAAUGUGUAGUGUAGCGGUGAAAUGCAUAGAUAUUACACAGAAUACCGAUUGC
rnacentral:rRNA from 1 species